UACGAAGGGGGCUAGCGUUGCUCGGAAUUACUGGGCGUAAAGCGUGCGCAGGCGGUUUUGUAAGACAGGCGUGAAAUCCCCGAGCUUAACUUGGGAAUGGCGCUUGUGACUGCAAGGCUAGAGUAUGUCAGAGGGGGGUAGAAUUCCACGUGUAGCAGUGAAAUGCGUAGAGAUGUGGAGGAAUACCGAUGGCGAAGGCAGCCCCCUGGGAUGUCACUGACGCUCAUGCACGAAAGCGUGGGGAGCAAACAGG
rnacentral:rRNA from 1 species